rnacentral:misc_RNA from 1 species
GCGAGUAAGACCCUGCCCUAGUGGCUCGGUCAGUCCCAUCAUAUACACCUUUAUCCGUGAACUCGUGGUUCAGCUGGACGAUGAAAGCUUUGGCGACUAGCCGUCCGUCGGUCCGCUCUUUAUACCUUUAUGGAAGUCAAUGGAAAUUGUGAUAAUCUAAUA